CCAAAAAAUCCGCCUGUCAUAUACCGAGGCUGCCGAUCGAGCGAGCUUGCUCGCGAAGUGAUUGAACGAGGUUCCAGGAAAAGCCACUAAGCUUCAGCUACACACGACCGUACCGCAAACCGACACUGGUGCGCGAGAUGAGUAUUCUAAGGCGCUUGAGAGAACUCGGGAGAAGGAACUCGGCAAAUUGACACCGUAACUUCGGAAGAAGGUGUGCCCUAUUAGUGUGAAGUGAACAACGGAGCAUGAAUGGGUUGCAAAAAAUCGGUGGCUGCGACUGUUUAUUAAAAACACAGCACUCUGCAAACACGAAAGUGGACGUAUAGGGUGUGACGCCUGCCCGGUGCUGGAAGAUUAAAUGAUGGGGUGCAAGCUCUUGAUUGAAGUCCCAGUAAACGGCGGCCGUAACAAUAACGGUCCUAAGGUAGCGAAAUUCCUUGUCGGGUAAGUUCCGACCUGCACGAAUGGCGUAACGAUGGCCACACUGUCUCCUCCCGAGACUCAGCGAAGCUGAAAUGUUUGUGAUGAUGCAAUCUCCCCGCGGAAAGACGGAAAGACCCCAUGAACCUUUACUGUAGCUUUGUAUUGGACUUUGAACAGAUCUGUGUAGGAUAGGUGGGAGGCUUUGAAGCAGAGUCGCUAGAUCUUGUGGAGCCAACGUUGAAAUACCACCCUGGUGUGUUUGAGGUUCUAACCUAGGUCCAUUAUCUGGAUCGGGGACAGUGCAUGGUAGGCAGUUUGACUGGGGCGGUCUCCUCCCAAAGCGUAACGGAGGAGUUCGAAGGUACGCUAGUUACGGUCGGACAUCGUGACGAUAGUGCAAUGGCAUAAGCGUGCUUAACUGCGAGACUGACAAGUCGAGCAGAUGCGAAAGCAGGACAUAGUGAUCCGGUGUUCUGUAUGGAAGGGCCAUCGCUCAACGGAUAAAAGGUACUCUGGGGAUAACAGGCUGAUACCGCCCAAGAGUUCAUAUCGACGGCGGUGUUUGGCACCUCGAUGUCGGCUCAUCUCAUCCUGGGGCUGUAGCCGGUCCCAAGGGUAUGGCUGUUCGCCAUUUAAAGAGGUACGUGAGCUGGGUUUAAAACGUCGUGAGACAGUUUGGUCCCUAUCUUCCGUGGGCGCUGCAGAUUUGAGGAAGCCUGCUCCUAGUACGAGAGGACCGGAGUGGACGCACCUCUGGUGUAUCGGUUGUCACACCAGUGGCAUUGCCGAGUAGCUAUGUGCGGAAGAGAUAACCGCUGAAAGCAUCUAAGCGGGAAACUCGUUCCAAGAUGAGAUCUGCCGGGGCCUUGAGCCCCCUAAAGAGUCGUUCAAGACCAGGACGUUGAUAGGUCGGGUGUGGAAGCGCAGUAAUGCGUUAAGCUAACCGAUACUAAUUGCUCGUGCGGCUUGACCCC
rnacentral:rRNA from 1 species